AUGCAAACCCUGUUCCUGCCAGACCCUCUGUGUCGUCCCCCCCCCCCCAGUGCGUCACCACCCGCCCUGCACAGAGCAGCGCUGGGGGCUGGGAGCGAGGCAAACAAAAUGCUGCUGUCCUGCUGCACAAACCAGCGAGCAAUUUGCAUAACUGGGGCAAUGCUGAUGUCAUGCUCAGCAUCUCCUUCGGGUGCACGGCAAGCUCGAAAGGAUCCUCCUAGAGCUCCAUGGCUUUUUGGCAAAAGGCGGCUGGAGUACAGAGUGAAGAACGAGGAGAGCUUCUCUGAUCCUCUGUCAAGCACUAAACCUGAUAUGCAGGUAAUGAAAGAUCUGGGGCUGAACACCCAAGCACACACAUCACUCUAUCCUGUAGCAGCUGGAAAGAAACCACAACCUUCAGUGAAAAGAUGCAGACUAAUUCCACUAUUUCUGACCCUUUUAGAGGAAUUUGUUUUUCUCCCUUGUGAGUGCAAGGAUAGAUUUAAAAUAGAGCAGCCAAUUCACUCUGGCCUCUAGAUUGCUUUUAAAGCACUGGUCCUGUGAGAAUCCCCCCCCCACCUUCACCUCUUGCCCUCGCCCGUGCGAGGCAGCAUCCUCCUAUUCUCCUCCCAGCACUCCCUGCCGCCGCCUGGCUUCCUUCUCCUCUCGUCCUGCCACAGAGCCCCUGACACCACCUCAGGGGGCUGCUGGGUCCCUGAGAAGUGGUGGCAUCAGUGACAGCAGCGUCAGGGUUGUGGGACCGUGGGCUUUGACACCCCAUGGGUGCUGGCACGGGUAUGCUGCUGGUUCCUCUUUGCACGCUCGGUCUCUACACCUCCCAGAAGCGAGCUGAUGAAUCACGCUGAAGAAAUUCAAUUCGUUUGUCUGGCCAAGGGGAGAGCUAGGAGAUGACUUGUUGAGGGCUGACAGCACCUCUGGGGGAGAGCUGCUCCGGCCAGGAGAGGUGGAUCAAGGCAUUGAGGCAGACAGGUUUGGUCCAGGAAUGAGAUGUGCACUCACGCUGCAAGGGCAAUUAACCACUGCAGCGGCUUGCCCAGUGACACAGAGCUACUGCUCACAGCUCUUAAAUCAGGACUGACUGCCUUUCUCCAAGAUUUAUUGGAUCUCCAAAGGAAGUGCUGGGCUGGAUGCACAAAUCACGGUCUGUGUUAUAUCAGGGGUCAUAGCAACUAGCAUAACGGCUCCUCCUGACCUCAGAAUUUAUGGCUGAUGUCAGGGGGACAAAUAACUCCUCCAGCAGGCACUGCUUUUCAGAGGGAGUGCUCCCAGGGCACGGCUGUCUUCAGGGAGAGGGUGGCCCCACUCACGCUGCAUAGCAGCGAUGCUCUGCCAGGUGAGCAGCGUGCAGGCACAUCCUGCCUCAAGCACCAGCAUCUCCACCAAGGGGCAUCCCACACGGCCGAAACAGAGCAUGAGUUGUUGGAAGGAAAAGGACAAGAGAUGUUUUGCUUAUAUUUAAGCAAAUUUGGUUUUGCUAACAAGUUUAAAAACAAGAAUCAAAACAUUUUUUUCUGACCAUCCUGUUUUAAUACCUUUGUGGCACAAGGAUCUGCAGCAUCUCAGCAAGCACUGUCUGUCUUGGGACAGCACAGUGAGGUCGAGGGAAAGGUGUGCUCCCCCCAUACUGCCUGUCCCUCUGUAAUGCUCUCUUGGUGCAAAUUUCCAUUCCCUAAGUGAGCUGCUCGCUCCUUUUGUGCAGGGACUUCCAAUUUUCUCACCAUGCAAUGAUGAUUGCGGCAAAGGCUGUAAGGGGGAGAGGGAAGUCUUUGUGAAAUGAUAACCCCAGGGGUAAAUCUUCAACAGGAUAUGCACAGCUUUAGCUGUGCAACUGUCAUUUACAUUAAUGGGAGUCAUGCAGCUAAAUAACCACACUGGAAACACCCUGGUCCCCAGCUGCCUGGUAUAAAUAAUAAAAUAAUAAAAAAAAACA
rnacentral:lncRNA from 1 species